CUCCCUGUGCAUGCGUGGGUUUUCUCCGGGUACUCCGGCUUCCUCCCACAGUCCAAAAAUAUGCUGAGGUUAAUUGAUUAUUCUAAAUUGCCCGUAGGUGUGAAUGUGAGAGUGCUUGUUUGUCUUUGUAUGUAGCCCUGCGACAGACUGGCGACCUGUCUAGGGUGUCCCCUGCCUUCGCCCGAGUCAGCUGGGAUAGGCUCCAGCCCCCCCGCGACCCUAGUGAGGAUUAAGCGGUGUAUAGAUAAUGGAUGGAUGGAAUUGCUUGUCAAAACACAACUCGCUGUUCCAAAGUACAGCCAGAUUUCUAGCUGCUGGUUAGAGAUUUGUAGAGCGAGAACCAAGACUAGAGGAAGCUGAAAGACAUCCUAAUCGAGGUCCAUGGGAAGUUUACACCCAAUAUUAAAAAUGGCAAUUUGAAAGAAUGGUUUUAUACUGUUCAAAAAUUUGAGGUCACCCAGACAAUAUCCUGUUUUCCAUUAAAACUCACACUUUCAUUCAUGUGCUAACAGAAUUUCACAAGGGUUUCUAAUCAUCAGUUAGCCUUUCAACACCAUUAGCUAACACAAUGUAGCAUUAGAACACAGGAGUGAUGGUUGCUGGAAAUGUUCCUCUGUACCCCAUGAAGAUAUUCCAUUAAAAAUCAGCUGUUUCCGGCUAGAAUAGUCAUUUACCACAUUAACAAUAUCUAGACUGUUUUUCUGGUUUAUUUAUUGUGAUCUUCAUUGGAAAAAAUUUCUAAAUGACCCCAAACUUUUAAAUGGUAAUGUAUUUCUGACUUGUUUCUCAUGGCUCGUCUUUUCUCUUUCUGUUCUCUGUGGCUUGCUUGCAAACAGCAGCAGGGUUGACUGAUUUCCAGGAAUCUGUCAUUACCUUUCGACUGGCAGGCUGAAACUUAUAAAUAAUUAUCAGUUGGUGCGGCCAGAGCAAGUGAAAGCAAAAAUAUGAGAGAUUGGUUUUUGUUUGAGGGAAAUUAUGCUUACCUGUAUGUAAACGUCGGCUAAUGCAUCAAUGACAACAAAAAAAUUGUUAACUUGUUUUUCUUACCCACAGCUAAGAGUAGUUUCUGUACGUCACACACAAUGGAUGAUCAAAGAGAAUCAAAUGUUUGAAACCUUUAUCAUUCUGCUUCUGUUCAAUUCUACUAUUGUGAUCGUUGUUCAUUUUGGUCAAUAUCAGUGUACAUAUGAAUAUAUAAUCAUAUUCAGCAUCUGACCCAAUGUCUAGCAACUGUUUCACUCCAGUUUACUCCCCCCUCCACCUUCUUUAAGUUUCAUUUCUCCUCUGCAUAUCCAGGCUGUUUAUUUCUAAACUACUUUCACCAGGAAACUCCCUCAGUCUGACAAGCUGUGUAACCUUUCACUUUAUCAAUCAUUCCCUGCUGCUCACCUGAGAGAGAGGAUCUCCUUGAAGUUCUAAAGCCAGUGAAUCCUCCAGGAUGCCCAGCCUGUGGAUAUGGUUGAGUCUGCUCUAUGCUCUACAAAGCAGUGUCUCAUCAGAUGAGGGAGUGUCACUGAAUUGCAACAAUACAGUGGAAGUUAAAGCUGGAGAAACUGUGACACUGAAUUGCACCAUCGAGCUGAAAGAAGGUCAACAGAACUGUGGCGUUCUAACAGUUAACUGGACGUCUACAAAUGACAAGAAUCUAUGUACCAAUGCCUCAUUGGUACAUAGAUACUCAUGUAUGUCGGAUAAUGAGACUUAUGUGGCGCUGACCAUCACAAAUGUCACGAAAGAGGAAGAUAUCACAGUUAAAAUGCGUGCAAAAUGUGGUAUGGAUGACUCACCUAUCAAAGUAAAGCUCACUGGAAUGUCACCAAUUUGCAACAGUACAGCAGAAGUUAAAGCUGUCGAAACUGUGACACCGAAUUGCACCAUCAAAGGGCAAUCAAAUCAACAGAACUGUGAAAGCAACACAUUGCACUCUAAGGAGGAUCAGGAGCGCAGGGAGGAAGAUAUAAAGUUAGCUCUGUCUGUCAUAUUUGGUGUUUUUGCCGCUGCCAUUGUUGUAGUCAUGUUGUAUUUAUUAUUUAAAACUGACCGAUGCAGAAAAAUCAUUAAGCCUGCCGAUGACCGUGGAAGUUAUUCCUCAACACCACAAGCUUAGUGGCCUCAUGUUUCUAAAAAUCUUCUAAUUUGUGUGUUUGUUGUUUUGUUUUGUUUAGUUUUUUUUUUUUACCUUUUCUGUGACAUUUUUAGAAUUCUUUUGAC
ensembl:lncRNA